rnacentral:rRNA from 1 species
UACGGAGGGUGCAAGCGUUAUCCGGAUUCACUGGGUUUAAAGGGUGCGUAGGCGGGCAGGUAAGUCCGUGGUGAAAUCUCCAAGCUUAACUUGGAAACUGCCGUGGAUACUAUUUGUCUUGAAUAUAGUGGAGGUGAGCGGAAUAUGUCAUGUAGCGGUGAAAUGCUUAGAUAUGACAUAGAACACCCAUUGCGAAGGCAGCUUACUACAGGAACAUUGACACUGAGGCACGAAAGCGUGGGGAUCAAACAGG